GUCAGGUGUAUUUAAUAAGCUGAAAUUACAUCCAGGUGAAAGAACAUCACAACAUCCAGGACUUGAAUGAACAUCCUGAGAAACUAAUCAGUUAGCAGCGGCGCUAGCCGGCGGAUUAGCGCAGUUACCUUCGAAAGAGUGCGAACUGAAAUGUGACGGUUGGGAAUCUGC